CGCCAGCGGGCCGCUCGGAGCCGCCGUGUGUGUUGUGCCUGCCCGCACCGCCGCUCGGCAGCGGGCCGCUCGGAGCCGCCGUGUGUGUUGUGCCUGCCUGCCGCCGCACGCCAGCGGGCGAGCGUUAGUUGUGCUAAAAUGUGAGGGUUACCCCUCACGCACCGAAAAUGAGUUGCAUGAGGUAGAAAUCACUCAGCCGUGGUUAUCUGAUUGGAGGUGAAAGAAAUAUACGAGUUCUCAGUAACAUUUUCUGUUAGGAGAAAAACAGCAAGAAAGAAGAUCAAGGGGAAUAAAGGAAAGAGGGGACCGUGGCUCGAGUAAGUCCUGUUCAAGUGCAGUGACUGCUUUCCUUCGGCCGAGAGAGCCCCUCGCCCUCAGGGGCCGAAGGGAAGGAGGGGUCUGAGGAGCUGCUCGGGUCUGAACAACUCCAAAAUUCAAACAGAAGAGAUAACUAACCUGCCAGGUCCAUGAGGAAUUGCACAGAAAAAUGAAAUUGCUGCUCAGAAUUCCUCUGUCGCCAGUGCAGACAAUUUUCAGAAUGUGGCAUUCCAUAUGAGAGACACAUAUGAGUGCACAUGCAUACCCUAAAGCAGAAUUGCAACAUUUACAUUUGUUUCCUGUCCUAAGCUCUUGCUGGGGACUAAAAAUCAAUGAGGGUCUGCAUUGCACCCCAGAAGUGCCUGCUUUUCACUGCAACUACAGAGGAGCACUGCAGGACUGAUGGGAUGAAACGGUGCCUGCUGACCCAUGGAAGGCCAGCUAAAAUGCCUGAACUCCGCUUCCCAGUUUUGCACAAGCAUAAAGGGAAAUGCAGAUAGGUGUAGAAAAUCCCAAAGGCAGACAUGAAGUGAGGGAAGUGUUAACUGCAAGCAGUUCUUUCUUCAUUAAGUGCAUAUUGGUUUCCAACAGCAGGCUGGAGUCAGUACAUGCAAAAACUUACACACUGUAAUUCUUGGAGUCUGCAGGCAUCAGCUACAGCAAGCUCCAGUCCAACCCUAAUGACUUGGAAAAGUCAAAAUACCUUGCAAGGAGCUGGGCCAUGUUUCAAAACAGACUUUUUUAACAGAAAUUCAUGUUUCAGUGGUGGGGCAGCAUGAGUGAAGUAUAACAGUGUUCUUGAACCAAUGGCUCACUCAAAUUGAAUUUCCCUUAUCCUACUUCCACUUUUCCAGAGGCUGGCUUUGACUCUUAAGAGUGACGACACAUGAAUUUUAGACUACAAGGAGACUAAGUCAUGCCAAACAAGUUUGUAUAGAAAGAUCACCUUUAACAACAAAUUAGACAGCUGAUGUAUUAAAACCUCUUAACUUUUUUAAUUUAAUGAGAUGACCUGCUCUUU